CGCGUAGGCGGUCUCUUAAGUCAGGUGUGAAAGCCCGGGGCUCAACCCCGGAAGUGCAUUUGAAACUAAGAGACUUGAGUAUGGGAGAGGGAAGUGGAAUUCCUGGUGUAGCGGUGAAAUGCGUAGAUAUCAGGAGGAACACCGGUGGCGAAGGCGACUUCCUGGACCAAUACUGACGCUGAGGUGCGAAGGCGUGGGGAGCAAACA
rnacentral:rRNA from 1 species